rnacentral:rRNA from 1 species
GAUGAACGCUGGCGGCGUGCCUAAUACAUGCAAGUCGAGCGAACGGACGAGAAGCUUGCUUCUCUGAUGUUAGCGGCGGACGGGUGAGUAACACGUGGAUAACCUACCUAUAAGACUGGGAUAACUUCGGGAAACCGUAGCUAAUACCGGAUAAUAUUUUGAACCGCAUGGUUCAAAAGUGAAAGACGGUCUUGCUGUCACUUAUAGAUGGAUCCGCGCUGCAUUAGCUAGUUGGUAAGGUAACGGCUUACCAAGGCAACGAUGCAUAGCCGACCUGAGAGCGUGGUCGGCCACACUGGAACUGAGACACGGUCCAGACUCCUACGGGAGGCAGCAGUAGGGAAUCUUCCGCAAUGGGCGAAAGCCUGACGGAGCAACGCCGCGUGAGUGAUGAAGGUCUUCGGAUCGUAAAACUCUGUUAUUAGGGAAGAACAUAUGUGUAAGUAACUGUGCACAUCUUGACGGUACCUAAUCAGAAAGCCACGGCUAACUACGUG